GAGAACCUAGUAAACACAUUACAUGGCUUUGUCACGGCCAAAUCACAGCCCCUGUGGUCCUCA
rnacentral:tRNA from 1 species